rnacentral:lncRNA from 1 species
UCAGCUACCAGCCGAUUCCAGACAGAGGAUAGUGUUAGAAGUGGAGACAAAUUUUGAUUUUACUUCUUAAAGACAAGGUUGAAAAUGAUAGAGGUGGAAGCAAAGUUGAAUUUUACCUCUUUAAAGGAUAAGUUGUAGUUAUCAAAUUAUUCUUUGCCACUUGGAAGAAAAUUCAAACAAGUAAAUCUCCCAGUCAAGUCAAGCAAGGAAAAGAAAGCCUAUUGGUUGAUCAAGUUUAUCUUUGAUUUUUCAACUUCUAG